rnacentral:rRNA from 1 species
CAGAUCAGGCAGGAUUACCCGCUGAACUUAAGCAUAUCAAUAAGCGGAGGAAAAGAAACUAACAAGGAUUCCCCUAGUAACGGCGAGUGAAGCGGGAAGAGCUCAAAUUUGUAAUCUGGCACCUUCGGUGUCCGAGUUGUAAUCUCGAGAAGUGUUUUCCGCGCCGGACCGCAUACAAGUCUGUUGGAAUACAGCGUCAUAGUGGUGAGAACCCCGUAACUGAUGCGGAUGCCCGGUGCUUUGUGAUACACUUUCGAAGAGUCGAGUUGUUUGGGAAUGCAGCUCAAAUUGGGUGGUAAAUUCCAUCUAAAGCUAAAUAUUGGCGAGAGACCGAUAGCGAACAAGUACCGUGAGGGAAAGAUGAAAAGCACUUUGGAAAGAGAGUUAACAGUACGUGAAAUUGUUGGAAGGGAAACGCUUGAAGUCAGACUUGCUAUUUGGAAUUCAGCCGCAAGGUGUACUUUUCAAUUCGCAGGCCAGCAUCAGUUUUCGGGGGUGGAAAAGGGUAGAGAGA